rnacentral:rRNA from 1 species
ACACGACUACAUUAGAUACCCCUGUAGUCCUAGCCGUAAACGAUACUCGCUAGGUGUCGGCCACGGUGCGACCGUUGUCGGUGCCGUAGGGAAGCCGUGAAGCGAGCCACCUGGGAAGUACGGCCGCAAGGCUGAAACUUAAAGGAAUUGGCGGGGGAGCACAACAACGGGUGGAGCUUGCGGUUUAAUUGAAUUCAACGCCGGAAAUCUUACCGGGACCGACAGCAACAUGAAGGCCAAGCUGAAGACUUUGCCGGAUUAGCUG